ACCGUCGACAGUCAGGUAACGAGCGAGACCCCUGCGUCUAGUUGCUACCAUUACUCUCUGGAGCAGUGGAGCGAAUUAGACGGACCGCCACAGUUAAUGUGGAGGAAGGAAGGGGCCACGGCAGGUCAGUAUGCCCCGAAACCCUGGGGCUACACGCGGGCUGCAAUGGUAUUGACAAUGUGUUCCGAAUCCGAAAGGAGGAGGCAAUCAUCAAACAAUAUCUCAGUUAUGACUGAGGGCUGUAACUCGCCCUCACGAAUAUGGAAUCCCUAGUAACCGCGCGUCACUACCGCGCGGUGAGUACGUCCCUGCUCCUUGCACGAAUUCGCCG
rnacentral:rRNA from 1 species